CAUGCAAGUCGAACGAGAAUCUGUGGAAAGAGGAUUCGUCCAAUUGAAGCAGAGGACAGUGGCGGACGGGUGAGUAACGCGUGAGGAACCUGCCUUUCAGAGGGGGACAACAGUUGGAAACGACUGCUAAUACCGCAUAACAUAUAGAUGUCGCAUGGCAUUUAUAUCAAAGAUUUAUCGCCGAAAGAUGGCCUCGCGUCUGAUUAGCUAGUUGGUGAGGUAACGGCCCACCAAGGCGAUGAUCAGUAGCCGGACUGAGAGGUUGAACGGCCACAUUGGGACUGAGAUACGGCCCAGACUCCUACGGGAGGCAGCAGUGGGGAAUAUUGGGCAAUGGGCGCAAGCCUGACCCAGCAACGCCGCGUGAAGGAAGAAGGCUUUCGGGUUGUAAACUUCUUUUGUCAGGGACGAGUAGAAGACGGUACCUGACGAAUAAGCCACGGCUAACUACGUGCCAGCAGCCGCGGUAAUACGUAGGUGGCAAGCGUUGUCCGGAUUUACUGGGUGUAAAGGGCGUGUAGCCGGGAGGGCAAGUCAGAUGUGAAAUCCACGGGCUCAACUCGUGAACUGCAUUUGAAACUACUCUUCUUGAGUAUCGGAGAGGCAAUCGGAAUUCCUAGUGUAGCGGUGAAAUGCGUAGAUAUUAGGAGGAACACCAGUGGCGAA
rnacentral:rRNA from 1 species